CCUACGGGUGGCAGCAGUGGGGAAUAUUGGACAAUGGGCGAAAGCCUGAUCCAGCCAUGCCGCGUGUGUGAAGAAGGCCUUCGGGUUGUAAAGCACUUUCAGUGGGGAAGAAAGCCUUGGGGCUAAUACCCUCGAGGAAGGACAUCACCCACAGAAGAAGCACCGGCUAACUCCGUGCCAGCAGCCGCGGUAAUACGGAGGGUGCGAGCGUUAAUCGGAAUUACUGGGCGUAAAGCGCGCGUAGGCGGUCUGAUAAGCCGGUUGUGAAAGCCCCGGGCUCAACCUGGGAACGGCAUCCGGAACUGUCAGGCUAGAGUGCAGGAGAGGAAGGUAGAAUUCCCGGUGUAGCGGUGACAUGCGUAGAGAUCGGGAGGAAUACCAGUGGCGAAGGCGGCCUUCUGGACUGACACUGACGCUGAGGUGCGAAAGCGUGGGUGGCAAACAGGAUUAGAUACCCUAGUAGUC
rnacentral:rRNA from 1 species